GGCGCACGGGUGCGUAACGCGUAUGCAAUCUACCUUUUACAGGGGAAUAGCCCAGAGAAAUUUGGAUUAAUGCCCCAUGGUAUUACGACUUGGCAUCAAGAUGUAAUUAAAGUUCCAACGGUAAAAGAUGAGCAUGCGUCCCAUUAGUUAGUUGGUAAGGUAACGGCUUACCAAGACUAUGAUGGGUAGGGGUCCUGAGAGGGAGAUCCCCCACACUGGUACUGAGACACGGACCAGACUCCUACGGGAGGCAGCAGUGAGGAAUAUUGGACAAUGGGCGCAAGCCUGAUCCAGCCAUGCCGCGUGCAGGAAGAAGCAUCUAUGGUGUGUAAACUGCUUUUGUACGGGAAGAAACACUCCUUCGUGAAGGAGCUUGACGGUACCGUAAGAAUAAGGAUCGGCUAACUCCGUGCCAGCAGCCGCGGUAAUACGGAGGAUCCAAGCGUUAUCCGGAAUCAUUGGGUUUAAAGGGUCCGUAGGCGGUUUUGUAAGUCAGUGGUGAAAUCUGGUCGCUCAACGAUCAAACGGCCAUUGAUACUGCAAGACUUGAAUUAUUGUGAAGUAACUAGAAUAUGUAGUGUAGCGGUGAAAUGCUUAGAUAUUACAUGGAAUACCAAUUGCGAAGGCAGGUUACUAACAGUGGAUUGACGCUGAUGGACGAAAGCGUGNGGAGCGAACAGGAUUAGAUACCCUGGUAGUCCACGCCGUAAACGAUGGAUACUAGCUGUUGGGGGCAACCUCAGUGGCUAAGCGAAAGUGAUAAGUAUCCCACCUGGGGAGUACGUUCGCAA
rnacentral:rRNA from 1 species